GGUUCCACAGUGUAGCAAUUAACACAUCUGCUUUUCAUGCAGAAGGUCCUGGGUUCGUGCCCCAGUGGAGCCA
rnacentral:tRNA from 1 species